GCUUUUCUUGGGACACCAGCAGCUUUUGUAAGAUGCAGGCUUUGGGGAGCCAAUCUGGUGAAACCCGGAAGCUGCGCCUUCGCAGUUCUCAUCUCAUUCAGCUGUCAGACAGCUGGGCAAAUUGUCCUUAAAUAAAACGCUGCUGAGUUCUGCUAGUCACUGAUCAUGGAUACACACUCCAUCUGAUGGAGUGAGGACUACAGGCUCUCUAGUGCUCUCACCUCUUGAAUGCUGGGGAUUUUACAGGCAUGAUGUCAUGUAGCAGAGACAAACCCUAAACGUGCUAUAUAUAACCAAGGACAGCCUUUAAAAUCUGGAUCUUCUUCCUCCUAAAUGCUUAGAAUGUCAGCAUUCUUAAGACAGAGGCAGCAGGCACCACACCAAGUUCAAGACCAAUCUGCUCCUGAGACCAGCCUGAGAUUCAACAAGGUCUUGCCUCAAAACACAAAAACAGGCUGAUGGGUGUGGGGGGAGGGCAGAAAGAUGGCUUAGUGGUUAAAAGUGCAUCCCAUUCUUGUAGAGGACCCAGGACUAGGUGGCAACAAACAUGAGGUAAUUCAUAACCACAUACUCAUGGCAUAUGGGUGUUCAUAAAGGCACACAUAUACACAUCUAAUAAUUAAAUCUUAAAAAUGACAACAAAAACAGCCUGAGGAUAUGGCUCAAAUGGCAAAGGGAUUCUUUCUCAAGCAGAGGACCAGAGUUUGGACUCCCAGCACCGACAUAAAAUACUAGGCACAGGAAUAUAAAACUGUAAUCCCAGCUCUCGAGAAGCAGAGACAGGAAGACCCCUGAAGCUUACAGACAAGUCAGUGUACCAAUUUGUGAGCUCUAGGUUCAAUGAGUCCUUCUCUCAAAAAAACAAGGUAGAGAAGCAACUGAAGAUAAUACCCAACACUAACCUCUGACCUCCACACAUAUAUAUG